rnacentral:rRNA from 1 species
ACUCUCGACUAGCAAGUAAUACGGAGGGUGCAAGCGUUAUCCGGAUUUAUUGGGUUUAAAGGGUCCGUAGGCGGAUGCGUAAGUCAGUGGUGAAAUCUCACAGCUCAACUGUGGAACUGCCAUUGAUACUGCGUGUCUUGAGUGAGGUUGAAGUAGCUGGAAUAAGUAGUGUAGCGGUGAAAUGCAUAGAUAUUACUUAGAACACCAAUUGCGAAGGCAGGUUACUAAGUCUCAACUGACGCUGAUGGACGAAAGCGUGGGGAGCGAACAGGAUUAGAUACCCUGGUAGUCCACGCUGUAAACGAUGCUAACUCGUUUUUGGGGAUUUAUCUUCAGAGACUAAGCGAAAGUGAUAAGUUAGCCACCUGGGGAGUACGAACGCAAGUUUGAAACUCAAAGGAAUUGACGGGGGCCCGCACAAGCGGUGGAUUAUGUGGUUUAAUUCGAUGAUACGCGAGGAACCUUACCAAGGCUUAAAUGGAAAUUGAUCGGUUUAAAAAUAAACCUUCCCUUCAGGAAAUUUUUAAGGUGCUGCAUGGUUGUCGUCAGCUCGUGCCGUGAGGUGUUAGGUUAAGUCCUGCAACGAGCGCAACCCCUGUCACUAGUUGCCAUCAUUCAGUUGGGGACUCUAGUGAGACUGCCUACGCAAGUAGAGAGGAAGGUGGGGAUGACGUCAAAUCAUCACGGCCCUUACGCCUUGGGCCACACACGUAAUACAAUGGCCGGUACAGAGGGCAGCUACACAGCGAUGUGAUGCAAAUCUCGAAAGCCGGUCUCAGUUCGGAUUGGAGUCUGCAACUCGACUCUAUGAAGCUGGAAUCGCUAGUAAUCGCGCAUCAGCCAUGGCGCGGUGAAUACGUUCCCGGGCCUUGUACACACCGCCCGUCAAGCCAUGGAAGUCUGGGGUACCUGAAGUCGGUGACCGUAAAAGGAGCUGCCUAGGGUAAAACAGGCAACUAGGGUAAGUCGUAACAAGGUAACAC